rnacentral:rRNA from 1 species
GAAGAGGCCCAGCCUGCCCAGUGACAUUUAACGGCCGCGGUAUCCUAACCGUGCAAAGGUAGCGUAAUCACUUGUUUCUUAAUUAGAGACCUGUAUGAACGGCAUCACGAGAGUCACACUGUCUCCUUUUUCAAGUCAGUGAAACUAAUCUUUCUGUGAAAAAGCAGAAAUUUUUAAACAAGACGAGAAGACCCUUUGGAGCUUAAGACCUAAAAUUUUUAAUAGUCUUUAGUUGGGGCAACUACGGAGUAAAAAUAACCCUCCAAGAUGGGAAUUUUCCUAAACUAAAAGCCACAGCUUUAUGUAUCAAUAAAAUGACAUUAUUAGACCCAAUAAGAUUAACGAACUAAGUUACCCUAGGGAUAACAGCGCAAUCCACUCUAAGAGUCCCUAUCGACGAGUGGGCUUACGACCUCGAUGUUGGAUCAAGGCAUCCCAGUGGUGCAACCGCUACUAAAGGUUCGUUUGUUCAACGAUUAAAGCCUUACGUGAUCU